rnacentral:tRNA from 1 species
GCCUGGGUGGCUCAGUUGGUUAAGCAUCCGACUUCAGCUCAGGUUAUGAUCUCAUGGUUCGUGGGAUCGAGCCCCACAUCAGGCU